rnacentral:rRNA from 1 species
CCUACGGGUGGCUGCAGUGAGGGAUAUUGGUCAAUGGGGGAAACCCUGAACCAGCAACGCCGCGUGAGGGAAGACGGUUUUCGGAUUGUAAACCUCUGUCCUCUGUGAAGAUAAUGACGGUAGCAGAGGAGGAAGCUCCGGCUAACUACGUGCCAGCAGCCGCGGUAAUACGUAGGGAGCAAGCGUUGUCCGGAUUUACUGGGUGUAAAGGGUGCGUAGGCGGCCCUGCAAGGCAGAAGUGAAAUCCAUGGGCUUAACCCGUGAACUGCUUUUGAAACUGUAGGGCUUGAGUGAAGUAGAGGCAGGCGGAAUUCCCGGUGUAGCGGUGAAAUGCGUAGAUAUUAGGAGGAACACCAGUGGCGAAGGCGGCCUACUGGACGGUGACUGACGCUGAGGCUCGAAAGCGUGGGGAGCAAACAGGAUUAGAUACCCUUGUAGUC